GAAAUGCGAUAAGUAAUGUGAAUUGCAGAAUUCAGUGAAUCAUCGAAUCUUUGAACGCACAUUGCGCCCUUUGGUAUUCCGAAGGGCAUGCCUGUCCGAGCGUCAUUACACCCCUCAAGCCUUCAUUGCUUGGUAUUGGGCGUCGCGGUCUGACCCGCGCGCCUCGAUGUCUCCCGGCUGAGCCGUCUGGUCUCCCAGCGUUGUGGUAUAACAAUCAAUCCGCUAGCGAGAACCGAAGGCGCGGCCGUCAAAACCUUUUACUUACAGGUUGACCUCGGAUCAGGUAGGGAUACCCGCUGAACUUAA
rnacentral:misc_RNA from 1 species